ACCACUGAGCCACCUUCCCAGCCCCUUAAAUAAAAUUUUGAUGGUAGGGCUGGGAAGGUGGCUCAGUGGU
rnacentral:pre_miRNA from 1 species